rnacentral:rRNA from 1 species
GAUGAACGCUGGCGGCGCGCUUAACACACGCAAGUCGAACGAUGAAGCUCAGCUUGCUGGGUGGAUUAGUGGCGAACGGGUGAGUAAUACGUGAGUAACAUGCCCUUGACCCUGGGAUAAGCCUGGGAAACUGGGUCUCAUACCGGAUAGGUGAGUCCACCGCAUGGUGGGUGUUGGAACGAUUGAUCGGUUUUGGGUGCACUCGCCGCCUAUCAGCUUGUUGGUGAGGGACUGGCUCCCCAAGGCGACGACGGGUAGCUGGCCUGAGAGGGUGACCGGCCACACUGCCACUGAGACACGGCCCAGACUGCUACGGGAGGCAGCGGUGGGGAAUAUUGCACUAUGGGCGCAAGCCUGACUCAGCGUCGCCGCGUGAGGGAUGACGGCCUUCCGGUUGUAACCCUCUUUCAGUAGGCAAGAAGCGAUAGUGACGGUACCUGCAGAAGAAGCUCCGGCUGACUACUUG